rnacentral:tRNA from 1 species
CAGGGGUUAUUUUAUAAAAAUAUUAGCUUUGGAUGCUUAAGAUAAGGAAGAGUCCUUACCCCUGA